rnacentral:tRNA from 1 species
UAGCCUAGUGGUUAAGGCUAUGGAUCGCCAAUCCGGAGGCGGCGGGUUCGAUUCCUGU